rnacentral:rRNA from 1 species
AUGACACACCGUCAACUCACAUCUGAGUAUCUCGGAUACAAAUGGUUGAAAGACAUAGGCUUUGAUCCCACUGUGAAAGUGAGGUUUCUCAUGCGGACGGUGAAAAAACAAUUUUGUUAUGAUGUCAAGUAUGGGAAGGCAUGGAAGGCAAAGGCAAAUGCUAUUAGGAUGUUGUAUGGUGGUUACGAAGAAGCAUACAACCAGCUCCCAAGGUUGUUGGCCGCCAUUGCACAUAGGAACCCGGGCAUGUUUCAUGUGGUCGAGGAUCACGAGGGAGUGUUCCACCGUGCCUUCUGGAGUUAUGGACAAUGUGUGGAGGCGUUUCAGCACUGUCGUCCGGUCUUGUCUAUAGAUGGCACGUUCUUGAGCGGUAGAUACAAGGGCACACUAAUGGUAGCAAUGGCGUACUCAUCAAACGACAAUGUGUUGCCGUGUGCAUUUGCUUUGGUGCCUUCCGAGCACCAAGACAACUGGGAGUGGUUCAUGGGUCAUGUUAGGCAUAACGUGAUUGGGGCUAGGGAGGUAUGCAUCAUAUCGGACCGGCAUCAUGGCAUACUCAAGCCAAUGGACAUUGUUAUUCCAGGAUUUCCAAAGCUUCACCACAGAUGGUGCAUGAGGCAUUUCGUGGCCAACUUUUACCGGGCAUGUAAGAGCAAGGAGCUCAGCAAAGACCUUACCCAUGUAUGUGUGGCCUUCACCACCCAAGGUUUCGAUGCUCGGUACAACAAACUCUUUGCAGCGGUGAACGAAGGGGGGAAAGACUUCUUAACUAGGAAUUUAAGCGAGAAGCACAAGUGGGCACGUGCUCAUGACGAUGGUGGUUGGCGAUAUGGCGACAUGACGAGCAAUCUGGUAGAAUGUUUCAACAAUGUGUUGAAGGGUGCUCGUGCAUUGCCGGUGACUGCAAUAGUGGAGUACACCUUCUUCAAGCUUAAUGAGUACUUUCAGAGGCAUUCUGAAGAGACUGCAAAAUGGAUAGGUGAAAAAAAGGAUUAUCCAGAAAAGGUUGAUGAAUGGUUGCAGUUACAAGCAAGCAAGUCUUCACGGCAACAAGUUAUCAUAUUCGAUAGAAUUGAAAUGAUCUAUCAAAUUGAUGAGCCAGGUGUUGGAAAUAUGCCCUAG